rnacentral:lncRNA from 1 species
UCUUUAGUCCCACAUCGGAAAAUCAUAUAAAACUCCUCCCUCCUAACACCUAUAAAAAGAUUUUUGUACUCCCAUUGGAGGGGGAGCCCAAAAAUUCUUCUAGAGCCUUGCAUAGAGGAAUAGAAAGGGACUACUUCAUGAGCAGCUAGGCUAGCAGUCUCGGGAGUGGAGAAGAAAUUUUGUAACGACACAGAGAUGAUUUAUUGUUCUAAACUUUCCUGUAUUUCUUUAUAUGCAA